CCCCUCGCGCUCACGGGUCACACCAUCGCAGGCGACCGGUGGGGUGCUUCACAGGCGGGGUACCACAGGGUAGAGGCGGGAAGCCGGUGGCUCCGGGCGACGGCGAUAACCCGGCACAAAGACAGAGUCGCAUUUCGGAGCGUCCACACGCAACGCGGCUCCUCUCACACGGAGCCGGGAGCCCUUGGGAGGGGAGGCUUUGGAGAGGCCGUGGGCGCGAGCGGACCGGCGACGGAGCCCCCCGCAGCCUCGGGAAGGGACUCGGAGACGCCCAGACUUUAGAGUCGCCCCUCCCCCUCCGGGGACCGUUACCCGUCACCGCCUGAGGCGGCUCUGGGACUGUCGCUCGAGUGGCGCUGGGCAUGGUUUGCCGAGGGCUCGUCGGCUGGUGGCCGUGACAGGUUCGUGAAGGUAAAAUAAAAUGCCUUGGAGGUGACAAGAGUUAAGCAAGACUUUUUACUCAGCGUUGCCUCCCACGUUAUAACUGUUCUCUGCUCACUUCCCAGCGUUGCAGUUGGAUCAUUGUAGCUCCGGGAUCUGCUGUAGAUGCCACUCUCUCCAGUUCUCAAUAGCUGUUUCCUGAAGCCUUUACAAAUCAAUUCAGCACGAAGGGAAAACAAGUUAACCAAGGAAGCUGCUUUAAAAAUGUGACAUCAAGCCUGGUUCAGUGGUUCUUGCCUGUAAUACCAGCACUUGGGAAGCUGAGGCAGGAGGACGGCUGUGAGUCUGAGACCAGCUUGAGCUACAAGUGAGACUGUUUCAAAAAACAAAAAAAAUGAAGACAAAAACAAAAAAAAAGAAAGAAAAGGAAUAACUGUGAUGUCAUGGUGUCAGUGGCUCUUGAAUCACUCUCGUUUCCUCAACAAACUUAAUUCCUUAGAAUAACCAUGUGGCGAUGUGACUAGCAGAUGCCACAGAAAUUGCCACUGUCUGGCAUCCAGGGAGAGGGUUUGGCAUGAUUUCCUUCAUGACUGUACAUGCUUUUCUUCUUACUAUCUUGGCCUUGCCUACGCACUGAAAGUGUUCAAUGGCAGGCAGAUACGCUCUCUGCGCUUCUAUUCUCACCCUGUCCAAUCCCUCAUUUAAUGUCACUGUCUUCUCCAUACAUUAAUAAAGUCAGAGUGCUGACAUAGGCAAGCUUCAUCUAUAGAGUAUGCUUUCUUUAGCCUAAGGAAAAGCCUCCCAGAUGGUAAAGGAUAGAAGUUUUAGCCUGAAUAUUGUCAAAUAAUCUCAGUAACAUUGAUAUUUCUUCUGCUGCCUAUUGCAGCUCUCUUAUAAAGGUGGUCACAACAAUUAUUUUCUUUGUUAUUAUUAGCUCAGUUCUGUUCUUGUAGACAACAGAUUUGUAUUGUGCUUAAAUGUCUUUUGGUAAAUGCCUGUCUACAUGAUCACUGGCCAUUGUAAGCUCUGUAUCGGGCCUGGCCACCUCAUCCACAGUCACAGUGCCGGCUGAGGCUCUUCUUUAAGGAAGGACAUUAGGAAGACAUAUCCUCUGCUUUCUUCUCCCUUGUGGAACUUCAUGAAAGGCUUGGAUCUUCUUUCUACUUGGCUGAAUAAAGAGCUGGAGGGUUUCUCUGAGUCCUAAUAGGAUGAGAUCGGUGUCCUUGGGCCGUCACACGGCUCCAGGUCCUUUGGCUGCUUUUAGAGAUGUGUCUGUACCUUUCUUGCCCUGAGUUGGCUUCUGAAACCCCAAAAACACUGGAAGGUGAAGGACCUUUUAGGGAACCCAUUCUUCUCUUCUGGUCUGGCUGCUUUUGUUCUUUCUCUCUCUCCUAUCUCUUUUACAUAGCAGCAGAGGCUGUCUUUGGAUGCUUCACCUGUUGCUGCUGCUUCCUGAGUGACAGAAUUACAGGUGGACACCACCAUGCCUGGUUUCUAUGGAUCAAACCCAGGGUUUUGUUCAUGCUCAACAAGCAUUCUACCAACUGAGCUAUAUCCCAACCUCCAUUUUGCUUUCUUUUUGAGGGUCCAGUUUUUCAAACUGGCCAAACUACAUGCUUGAGUGAAGACAGAACACAUUGGUAAAUGUCACUGUACAAUUUCUUCUUUCUUCCUAUCUUUCUUUUUUCCUUUCUUUUUCCUUUCUUUCUUUCUUUCUUUCUUUCUUCUCUCUCUCUUCCUUCCUUUCUUCCUUCCUUCCUUUCUUUUUAUUUUCUUUUUUGUAUAAUACGAAUGACUGUUUGCUUGCUUUGGUGAGAGAUCAAGUAGUCCAGAAAGGAGGCUGGGACUUUUGAAGUUGGUGGGAUACUCUUCUUGGUUUUUAGUCCAAGAAGUGCAAUCUAUUGGAAGUUUCAACUGCCCAGUGUUCAGAAAUAUAAGAAAAAGUACUUCCUUAGGUUCUGGCUGGUAACCCAGAUGGGCAAAUAUCUGGGAAAGAUGAGUUGGAAGAGCUAGGCUAGCCCUCUGGCUGAGGGUAAAGACUGCCAGUGUUUGGGUUUGGGGCAAUGCUCUCGCCCACCUCAAACCCCAUGAUUGAUUGUACUAAGCUUUUGCUUUUUCCAUUUGAGAUAAUCUUCCACUCCUUGCCAAGACAAAAACAAAAAGCAGAUUCAUAGCUAGAUGUAUGUUGUUUCUUUGAAUAAAUCUUGAAACAGGACCAUUGGGUAGAGUUCUGAUCAUUUAUGUUGGGACCUGAACAGCACCCAUGGGUACUUGAACACUGAAGGGCAUCUUCUCUCUGCGCAUUCAGGAGUAGCUGCAUCAAGGUUUGGUACAUGGAAUGAUUCUGGGAGGACAAAUGACUGUUAAGACACCACUGAAAUGACCAUUGGCUUGGACUAAGUGAAAAGUAUCAUUUGAUUUCCUUAUCAGUAGAGAGACCUUUCCCGUUACUGCUUCAUUAGUGACAUUUUUCUUGCUGGUGUCAGUGCCUGGGAGAGAGCUCUAAUGGUAACAUGUGUUCCCUCCUUUCCUGGGGGACCAGUUCUGUCUCAGAUAGUCUUCAUAAUUUCUGAAAUCACUGCAUUGCUUUUGUAAGCCUUUUCUGGUAAAAUGCCCAGAGGUGGGAAAGCUUUGCAUCUGCCCAGCUGAUGCUGGGCUCCAAGCAGCAUUGUUAUUGCUACAGCUGGGGACAGAUAUGCACUUGGUAUGUGUCUCCAUUGAAUCCUCUUUGUAUGUUACAGUAAUAUUCACUGGCUUGGACUCAGGAGGCUGUUUCAUUUGAAUGUCUGCAUCUUUAGGAUGAUUGGAGUCAGUAUUGCUCAGGGCUAAAAAGCCUUCCAUGUGCGCUGAUAGACAUUAUAGUCCAUUAGGGUUAAGAUAGAGCCCAUGCUUCUCCCACCCUGGCCAUGUUUCUUUACCUACCCAAUGCAUGGGUUGUCAAAAUCCACAUUUAUCUUAUUUCCCAACCUAUCAGAGGGGAGUCAUUCAUUUGGAAGUAAGACGUAUGUGAGGCAUUCUUUCUAGGGUCACAUCUAACUGAACCCUUUCCCACAAAUGAAGUUAUUUAUUCUAUAAAUAUCCUACAGUGCCUUUUGGUUAGAAACUAUGCAAGCAGCAAAAAUAUAUUUUGCGAAUGCAUUUUCUAGUUCUGAGUUGGAGGAAGUAGGAGGCCAAAGAAUGCUUGGAGGUACAUACUGCUAAGUUAGACACAGCCAUCCGAUGGGAUGAGGAGUGUCAUUCGAUCUUGUGUAAUGCUCUAGACAGGUAUCUCAGGAAAGUAACAUUGGUCUUUGGAAGCUGGUCUAAUGUUCUUUGGGUUGCAGUAAUUUUCUCUUAAUCAUAUAUACUCACAUAUCACAGACUUGAUGAAAAUAUUCUUUCUAUAAUAGUUUUCAGGUUUAUAGUCUAGGUGUACUUGGAUCUUAGAUUUUAGUUUCUCCUUUAGCUCUCUGCAGGAACUCAAAUUGGUCAGCAACCUGAAGAGUUCUGUUGUGAGGCGACAUGUUUUUUUCUUUUUAAAAUUCAGACAGCAGAACAUAUCCACAAUAAGUUUGGACAGCUGUCAUUCUCACAAAUAUCUGGUAGGGAAAGUACAAAGAGCUGUCUCAACAUAGAGGAAGGCAGUGUGGGUAAGUUGUGCAGGGGAGUUCUGGGAGACCAGCAACAGGCCCAUUCACAGCAGGCCUCUUAAGUGUCUUCUGACCUGAAUUUCUCCGUUGCUGGACUGUCAUUGGGUGGCUGGGCUUCAGGAUGAACUGGCACUGCAUCUCUUGGGCGGCUCUUUCAUGAAGAAAGACUUGUAGGAGUUGGAAAGGGUUUCAAAGUCCUUUGAUUACCCACCCCCACCCCAAGACAGGGCUUCUCUGCAUAGCCUUGGCUAUACUGGAACUCACUCUGUAGACCAGGCUGGCCUCAAACUCACAGAGAUCCUCCUGCCUCUGCCUCCUGAGUUCUGGAAUUUAAGGUGUGCACCACCACUGCCAGGCUGAGUCCUUUAAUUCUUGUGGCAGGAAUUCAGUGUCUUGAAAUGAUUUGUUUAGAUUCCAUAGGAUCGUUGUUCCCCAUAAGUGGGUAUGGUGCUGCAAUUUCCAGAAUUGAUCCAUAACUGGUUGUCUUCUUCAGAACUAGUCAGCCUUCAGAGUGCUAAGUGUUAGGAUGGUGGAGCAAUCCAAGCCCAGACUCAAGUUCGGCUUCCCUAGCAUUGACAAGGGCAUGAUGCUAACUUCAUUUCCUGUGUCUGAAUUCAUUACUGUUAUAGUUUUGUAAUUAACCCACUUAUGAGAUGGUUGGUGAAUAUUUUGAGGUGAAUGCACUUUCGGUUGUUCUUCUCUGUCUGGAUAGGUUAAGACUGUAGAUACCACAAACUAAAAUUAUUAGGGAUUUCCUGGGGGCAGCAGAACUGUGGUUGAGAAACAAGGAAGGCUAAGAAAGCCAUUUGUCCUCUUAUUCUGGAGAGCUAAAAGUGGCUUAAAGUUUACAGUGCCACCCUACACCUCCAAGCCAAGGAUGUCAUGACAUUGGUGUAGCCUUUUCCCACUUUAUCCAUAUAGCUUGCUGCCUAACUGUCAGCCAUUUUUUUCUUAAAGGUGUUGUGGUAUUUGACUUUGGCCACAACAAACAGGUCACUGAAUGGGAAAGAUACCAUCCCUGCCUUUUACAGGCCACUGAUGAGUUCUACAUAGCUAUCCUACUAGAACACAGAAAAUAGCCAGCCAACUCUGAUAGAACUUUCUUUGGUUUUUCCUACUUGUCUGUUUUUGCAGGAUUUUUCUAGAUUAGAGGGCAUUCCUCCUGUUUUCAGCAAAGAUUUUCAUUUUCUUCCUCAGUUGCUAGUGACCACAUCAGACCAGUAUACCUGUCCCUGAUAACUUUGGUGCUGACUCUACCAACACCAUCUUGGGGGGCCUACAGGGAUGGGGAAAGGUGAUUCUUAAUCCAUGUCUUCACUUGGGACUGAGGAACCUGACUAGGGUUCCAGUGGCAGUUGGAAAUGACAGGGAGGCUCAGGGAUCACUCCUAAACAGAUUAAGAUGUAGAUACCACAAACUACAGUUAUUAAGAGUUAUCUGGGCUGAGGAGAGCAUGUGUGGUAGAAAGCCCUGUGUGGUUCCCAUGCUCAAUGACUGCUGAAGGUUCACGGCAACCAGCACGUGUGGAGAAAGGGUGCACAUUGGCCUGUGACUAGGGUGGUGGGAGGCAUGAGUUACCCAAUCUGUGCCCACUUUAUGGGCACCGGUACCUCUCAGGAUCCAAAACAUUGCUUCCAUGAAGAAAAUCUUGCAUUAAAGGUUGAGGUUAUGUGGCUAAGCCCACAGACCAGUAGCUAGAAGCCCAACAUUUCAGAACAUAUUUGGACAACAUUGAUAUCCUUGAUUUGUUUUUGAUAUCCUUGAUUCUUAUCUUUGUUGCACCUGCAGAGACAUGAAGGAGACCUUGCAAUGCAUUGCAUACACCCAUGGACACACUCAGUGAACCAGCUCUGACCUUCUCUCCAGAGGCUCCCUCUGCCCCUUCCACGCUGCAGUCCAGGCUAGGCUUUCAACCUUCCUGGGAGAGUGACCAGCUGUGACAUUCCGGUUGCGGCCUCUCAGGCUUUCCUGCUACACCUAGUGUCUGAUCACCUCUUCUUUUACCCACAAAGGGAGCAUCACUGAGCGGGGCCCAGUCCUCACGUCCGUCAUCUUUUCUGUUCUCUUCCCUCUGUCCAUGCUGAUGCGAUCUGUACUCAGAUCCUCCUAGUUUUUGCCUCCAUCCCUGGGUGGCUUCUUAACUGGCUGCCCGAGAUUCUCAAAGCAUCCCUCCCAUCAUGCGAUUUCCAGGCUUAAAUGCUUCCUGGCCCCGUGGUGCCUUCUUGACGAGAUCUGAGCUCUGCAGUAGAUCUGCAGGACUUCUGAGACUCAGUGACUGUGUUCCCUGAUCCUGUCCACUGUGCUCCCUGCUCUGCCUCUGAGCUGUGGCUAGACUGCUCCUCCUGGGCCAUGGUUCCUUGUACCUGUCCCAGCCAGGUUAGAUGGCCACUGUUUGCCCACCCAGGGCUCUGCAGACCUCUGUCUAUCCGGGGUGUUCUUCCUGCUUGUGUCUGCGUGUGCCUCUGAAGCUGGUAUCUGUAUAUCCUUGUGGGUGUUCUGUGCUGUGUGCAGAGCAGUUCUUAGGUGCACUGGGGCUGCAGGAAGGAAGGAAGAUUCGGUGGCUGCAGUAAGCAUGGGCUGGUGUGUUCAGCAUGGUUGGCCACUCUCCUGGCCACUGUUCUUGGUCUCCGCUUUUUUUUUUUAAACCCUGUGCCUGAGUUUAUUGUUUCUGCUCAAGGUACAAGUGGCCCCCAGACUUCCAGAAGGAAAAUCUGAGUGAUCUACAGUUCUGCCUUAUAGGCUGCCACCACCAACUAUUGAUGUUUUCUUCUUAUUAUGCCUUUUCCUUUCUUCUUUACUUCAUGGUCCAGUUUCACCUUGGAAAAUUUCCAAGUCUGGCCUUGUGAUAUGAUGUAGGCCACACUGAAGUAGGACUGUGCAAAAAUGCAAAGCUAGGCUGGGUAUGGCCCAGUGAUAGGAGGCUUGACUGAAGUGCUUGUCAAGGCCUUGGGUUCUAUUCCUGAUAUCACAAGUUGAUAACAGCAGCAACAAAAAAGCAGUUCUGAUCAUUUCCCAGCCCUGCUUCAACUCUUCAAUUUAAGGAUAGAAUCCAUCUUGUUAGACUUGCACCCUUGGCUGGCUGUUUACGCUUGUGGCCUGCCACCAGCCUGAAUUUGACCUCCUCUGGCCUUAAGACUCACAUAGCUUGGCCCCAGGCACUGACCCCUGCUAGUUUCAGGCUCGGGCUAGCUUUUCUUUCCCUGUCUUCACCCAGGGCUUGUACUUGAACUUCAUGGCUGCUUUCAAGCCUUACCUUCCUGACCAGCUCCAGGAGCACUGAAAGCUCCUCUGUGGUACUGAAUUCACUUAUCCAGCCCUGUGUGGCAAGUGGCAUUUCUGUGGGUUUGAGGCAACAGUGAGCCCUACAGGAAACUUCCUGCUCCCAGAGCUUCUAGGAGCUCUUUCUUCCUUUUUUGAUGAGAUGGGCCUCAAGGGUAAGAGUCCCUCAGUGCCUGCGCUGGUUGCCUUCUCAGUUGACCUGAGAACCUCCAGAACACACCUGGUUUAAGUUUGGGCCUGUGUAGAGGCCUGGACCUAUCCAAUGAUGAUGUGAGCCCUUCAACACUGAAGGCUGCUCCCAAUGCCCCAGCCUGUGCUUGGGCAGGGCUAGCAGGCAGGGCUCUUGCUGGCAUGGCUGAGUCCUCACAGAAGGCAUUACAGAUUCCAAGUGCUUCUCUCACCCUGUGCUGGGUAUGAGUCUGCUGCUGAACCUCUCUGCACCCCUGACACCCCAGUGGCAGGGCAACAGUGUGACCAACUCCAAGCUCUGGAUCCUGGAGUUUUCUGCUUCCUGGAUUGCCAGUGAGUCCUGGACAGGUAAAACAAGCACCUGUCGUGCACAUUGGCCAGUCAAGCCCAGCUGCCAGUCAAGCCCAGCUGCCAGUCAAGCCCAGCUGCACUGGCCCUUAUGUCGAAGUCCUGGACAUCUACCAGAUCUGACAAAUUCCCGUAGAAGAAGUAUGGCUUCAAGGGACCAUUUGAACAGAGAUUCCCUAAUAUAUUUUGGUCUUCAUCAAAGGAAAUCAUUAACAGAGGCUUGUAGGAAAGGUCUCUGCGUGUUGCACACAUCUUUGAGGUGUUAACCAAGUGACUUGGAGGUCAACACCCUAUCUGUUGACAGAAGGAGCUGAUGACAGAAAGAAAGAGUCAGAGAAGAAACAAGUGUGGUUAUCAGGGUCUUAGAACCCCUGCAGGGACAACCCCUGGAAGUACCCCAAAUCCUGAGCAGAGUACUCAUGACUUACCUCCAGGAGCAAACUGACUGAUCUGCAAUGUCAGACCCCCAGCAAACCCGGGUGUCUUGCAUUUUUCAAAGGAACUGAAAUGGCUGUCUGAGCUGGAAGAGCUGAGGAGAAGGAGGUACCCAAGAGCCCCAGUAGACUCAGCCAGGAACUUCACCAGACACUGGCAGUCAACACUGGAGGUCCCUGCGCUGCCACCCUAACCUUCACCUGGAGCUGCUGGUUAUACUGGGGACUUAAAGACAAAUGGCAUGCAGGCCAUCAACCCUGACUGCUGUGCAUGAUUGUGUGUGUAUUGUCUAGCCAGGCCUACAUGCAUGGCCCUGAGAUAGCUUCCAAGAAAGACCGCACCACUCUCACCAGAUCUGGAAUUUAGGUGUGGAGGUGACAGUUAUUGAAAAGUAGCUUGCUUCUGCCUAUGGUGAUUAUGGCUGGGACAUGGUUUUAGAUGAAUACAGGAAGAGCAGAGGGUGACCAUGCUGAAGCUGGGAAGUAACAUUAAGAGAGGUUCUGGGUAUCAGUAACCAGGUGUGUAGCAAAGGUCUUGCAAGUUAAAUACUAUGAAAGUCAAGUGAUUUCUAAGUCCUGCCCAAUGCUUGACUGUGUCUGUCCUGACUCAGUCUUAGCUGUUAUAGGUGACUUUCUAGGAGCUAGUCCCAGACUGUCUCAUAUCUUCCCCAUGGUUUGCUGUGCUCUCUGAGGUGAGCCAUGGGUUCCCUGGUAUUUGGAGGGAAUUUGGGUUCAGCAGUUCUGGCUACAGUGCCAGGGUUUCUAGCUGCCUGAGCUUGACAAGCUCUGUCGCCCAUGAAGCACAGCCCUUCAGCCAUUUUCUCUACACAGCACCUGACUUCCAAAACCUAUUGUUGUUUCAACAGGAGAUGGAAUCUAUAAAAUACUUGGUGCAAACUCCAUCACUGUGAUCUGAUCUCCAUCCCUCACUCCCCUCCCUCUGGAGCACCUGGGUCUGAUUCUCUCUUGCUCCUUCAUGGCUCUUCCACAUAAUGUAGUCAGUCUGGAGCAGAAAUGGAAGAUCCAGCUGGGGUGUUUGUGUGUGCCCAGCUCUCACAGAGCUGUCCUGGGAAUGCAGAAAUGAGCAGGGUGAUGUUUCAGCCUGGAGAUAAGGAGCAAGGGCUCUGGAGUCAGACCACACUAUAACUCAGUGUGCAGUCUUAGGGCAAGUCACUUAAUUGCACUGUAUUUCAGUUUUCCUGUCUGUAAAAUAGGUAUAAAGUUAAUCAACCUCAUGGAUGAACAAUGCAUUCCAGUGCUGAGCACAACCAGUUGAAAUAUGUGUUGGCACUAACUCUGACUCCAACUGAGGAGCCAGGCAGGAGCUGCGCAGUAUGCUUGGGUAGUCCACACAACAAUUGACGUCUCUCCCCAGAUAGGAGACAUCAGAGGGAGGAGGAAAGAAUAGAUAGCCAUUGGGGGAUGGGAAAUAUUUAUUGAUGUUAUUUCUUUUAUUUUUUGGCACUGGGGGUGGUUCCCAGGGCUUGGCACAGGCUGGACAAGUGUUCCUCCCAUGAGCAACAGUUCCAGUAGUUUUUAGAUGAACAGAUGGGAGAAGUCUGACUUAUUCUAGUUGGGGAAGACAAGCAAGCCUCCCCAAUCCCUUUAAUCCAUAUUCUUGACCACUCCAACUCUUGCUCCCACCGUCUGCAUCAGAAAAAAAUGUAAUGAACUCCAGCUGAGCUUCAUACUGGUGUAUGACUUUAGUAUGCAUAGAGAUCUGCUCCCAAGGAGAGUAGAGAAAACCAAGGUGCCUGCACUAAGUCUCCAAGACAGUGGUGUGGGCUUGCCUUUGAAGAGAUGAGUCUGUGUUUGCUGUCCCCAAGCAUCCCCAGCUUUCUACUCCCUUCCCUUCCUAUUCUGAUUGGGUUGGGGUUCCAGAAGUAUUGUGGCCUGCCAGCCCUGGGCACCUCAUACAGGCUACUGGAGGGUAGUGUGGAGGCAGCCUCUUAGCUGUGGGAAAAUGGCAGACACAACAACCCUUUCCUAUCAGCACAAGAGGUGAGUUGAUAAUGAUGUUGGGUUACUAGACCUCAGAGGCCUACUAUCCAAAGAGUUGCCAUAGAAGAAAGCAGUUCUAUCUGCUCUGCUGGUGCAGUGCUACCUGGGCCAGUGGGAUGGGGAGCUGCUUCUGCUGUCCCACCUGCUUCUUCCCACAAACCUGACUCUAGCCUUCCUGACUCACCGAUGCCCAUAACCUCCUGCAUUUGGCAUUAGCACUCAUGGUCCCAUGAUUAGUAAUGUCCUUUCUAUUUCCAUUGGCCACCUAUGGCUAAUUUUCUAAGAUAUCACUAGUGGUUACCUCCUUCUGUGCCAUGGUUUAGUCAUGCCUGCCUUUGAACCCACGCCAUGAGAGCUCACAUUACACAGACCUGACUAGGACAUCUCCAUGGUCUUGACAGUGUCACUGAUGGGGUCUCACUUUCUUGCCAGUGCUGAUCUCAAACUUCUAGGCUCCUGUGAACCUGCCUCAACUUUCAAGAAAUUAAGACUCCAGCAAACCUGGUGGUCCUUUUUAAAGAUGAAGAAAGUGAAGCCUGGAGAGCUCAGCUAAAUUGCUUUGAUAAUGUAUUUUCUUUUUACUUACUUUGUGCAUAUUUAAUUCUGAGGUGUGUUGGAUACUUGAUGGGGGAAGUCCUUCUGUGUAUAUGUUUGUCUUAUUGGUUGAUAAAUAAAGCACUGUUGACCAAUAGGGAAGCAAGAUAGGUGGGACUAGGAGUUGAGGAGGAUUCUGGGAAAUGUAGUCAAGAGUAAAGAAUUGCUGUGUGAUCCUGGGAAGAGAGGAUGAGUCAGCAUGGCAUCCUCAGAAAGAUAAGUCCUUAUAGAAAAAAAUACAUGUGUGUGUAUGUGUGUGUAAUCAUUGGUUAAUACUUAACUAGCCUAUGAGAAGCCCUGGACAUUGGCCGACAGCAUUGUAACUAAUAGAGUCUCUGUGUGUUAUUUGGGGUUGACACAGCUCUGGGACCAGGCUGGCAGGAAGAAUCUCAUUACAGAUACUAAAGACAUGCCAGUGAGUAAGAUGGACAAUAAUCCCUGGAGCUUCCAUUGGACUGAGGAAGGAGGAAGAGGUGAUCUGUCAGUUGUGGGAAGUGGGAUAGAGAUGGAAGAUAUCAAGGUUGCUCUGGAAGAUGCUGCCAAGGCCCAGCAUUGGUGCCAAUAAUGAUCAGGCAGAAUCAUGCUGGAAUGGUGAGGGGACAGCCCUUCAUGUCGAGAACUGUGGGUCUUAGAGGCAAGAAGUGGAUGGAGAUGUCUUCAAAAUAAAGAGGAGAGGCCGGGCAGUGGUGGCGCACGCCUUUAAUCCCAGCACUCGGGAGGCAGAGGCAGGCGGAUCUCUGUGAGUUCGAGGCCGCGCUGGACCGACAGCCUCCAAAACAAUACAGAGAAACCCUGUCUCGUAAAACCAAAAAAAAAAAAAAAAAAAAAAAAAAGAGGAGGCCCUGAGUGAAAGAGGAUGGUAGCCCCAAAGAAGCUUUGCAGUUUGGUUUUUGUUUACUUGCUAAGAACGGGGAGGGGCCUUCCUACACAGCUGGAGCCCAGGCGGUAGAAGUAACCCAAGCCCUGCUACCCCCUCCCCAAGGAUGUCUGCUGUAACAUUUACAUUUUUGCUAUGUGAGCCCAUGUCAUCUCACCAAUUGUCAGUAAAGUCUUCUACAAACACAA